rnacentral:rRNA from 1 species
UACGUAGGGUGCGAGCGUUGUCCGGAAUUAUUGGGCGUAAAGAGCUUGUAGGCGGUUUGUCGCGUCUGCUGUGAAAAUCCGGGGCUCAACCCCGGACUUGCAGUGGGUACGGGCAGACUAGAGUGUGGUAGGGGAGACUGGAAUUCCUGGUGUAGCGGUGAAAUGCGCAGAUAUCAGGAGGAACACCGAUGGCGAAGGUAGGUCUCUGGGCCACUACUGACGCUGAGAAGCGAAAGCAUGGGGAGCGAACAGG